CUUCAACGACCCGAGCCACAGCGGGUGUUCGCGACUGGAGUCCUGCCCGUAGGUGGCGAGCAAGGCCUGUGCCUC
rnacentral:antisense_RNA from 1 species